AUUGAACGCUGGCGGCAGGCUUAACACAUGCAAGUCGAGCGGAGAUGAGGUGCUUGCACCUUAUCUUAGCGGCGGUCGGGUGAGUAAUGCUUAGGAAUCUGCCUAUUAGUGGGGGACAACAUUCCGAAAGGAAUGCUAAUACCGCAUACGUCCUACGGGAGAAAGCAGGGGAUCUUCGGACCUUGCGCUAAUAGAUGAGCCUAAGUCGGAUUAGCUAGUUGGUGGGGUAAAGGCCUACCAAGGCGACGAUCUGUAGCGGGUCUGAGAGGAUGAUCCGCCACACUGUGACUGAGACACGGCCCAGACUCCUACGGGAGGCAGCAGUGGGGAAUAUUGGACAAUGGGGGGAACCCUGAUCCAGCCAUGCCGCGUGUGUGAAGAAGGCCUUAUGGUUGUAAAGCACUUUAAGCGAGGAGGAGGCCACUGAGACUAAUACUCUUGGAUAGUGGACGUUACUCGCAGAAUAAGCACCGGCUAACUCUGUGCCAGCCGCCGCCGUAAGAC
rnacentral:rRNA from 1 species